GGGUCAUGAACUGAUCAAGCCCAGCCUUCAUGUCAAGUUUGAUGAUUAUAGGUCCAGGCUUUCUUGAGUUAUCUCUGAGAGUAGCUUUGUUAACUUUCUGUGUUGAAAGUCACUAUGACCUUGACCUUUGACCCGAUGAAACCAAAAACCAACACGGGUCAGGCCAAACCUUCAUGUCAAGUUUGAUUACCAUAAAUCCAGGAAUUGUUGAGUUGGCUUCAAUGUGACUGUGAGCUUGACCUUUGACCUUAUGACCACCAAAAUAUAUAGGGGUCAUAUACUGGUCUGGCCCAACCUCCAAGUAAAGUUUGGGGCCAUGCGUGCAGGCAUUGUCGAGUUAUUACCCGGACAACCUUUUAUUUAUAAAGGUCACUGUGACCCUGACCUUUGACCCGAUGACUCCUAAAAUCAAUCGGGGUCGUCUACUGGUCAGGCCCAGCCUCCAUGUCAAGGUUGAUGACAAUAGGUCUAGGAAUUGUUGAUAAAUCACUCGGUCAAUCUUUAAGAUCCUUUUACCAUUAAGAUCAUGUGAAUUUUGAUGACCAUACGUCCAAGAAUUGUUGUGUUAUCACCUGGACAAGCUUUGGUCUACUGACGAACCGACCGACCGACCGACAUUUGCAAAGCAAAAUACCCCUCUUCUUCGAAGGGGCCAUAAUAAAUCUUAGAACACUCUCUUUAAUUUACUAUCUGUCUAGAAAGAAAAACAGAGGAUUUCGAGGUCGACACUAGUCUUUCCACGAGCACGAAGAUCAUCCUGGUAGUAAGCGCGCCGCUCUGGUUUCCCAUAUUGACGGCAACGGCCGUGAUCGCCUUACCGGUGAAAAUCGCAUAUGUAAUCGCCGGUAAAAUAAAGUGCAAUGCACAGAUGCGGGCUUACAAGGCGGACAAAGCAGGUAUUAUGCAAAAAUGGACGGAAAUGAUUAUUGACGACAUGUUUACCCUGAAAAACAUUGAGGAGUUCAUUUUUGAGACAUACUUUAACAUGAAAUGAAAAUAAAUGAGUUGUGUGAUAAAAAGAUUCCGGAUUUGAUCGCGGCAGAUCGAUUAAAAGUGAAGAAACUCCAAGAAGACAGACGUACCGCUAAAGAAAUUUUCGAUGACUUUCAACCGGUGAAGUAAAAGCUGUUGACAAUACUGGGACAUCUGAGGCUGUAUAAACUACGUCACGUGGCCACUGACGUCAUCGAUGUGACUCAACUGCGACGCGAAAAGGAGGUCCGGAGCGGGCACUUUUCGACGGUAUACAAGGCGCACCUGCAACUAACGGGUGAUAGAGGGAGUCGAGUUGUCUCGCUCAAGGUGCUCAAACGGCGCAUAGACGGGGAUGAAAUGUACACUCUGUUGACGGAAGUUGACAGCUUAAGGCAGUUAAAACAUGAGAAUAUCGUGGAUCAGGUCGGUGUAUGCUUCUCGGAAUCGCUGCCGCCCUUUGGUGCUCAGGGGCAACCCGAGCCCCAGAGCGCCCCCAAACUGAUGAUGGUUCUGGAGCACUGCGAAACGAUCCUAGAGACGCUUGUCUUUGAUAAUGAGCAUCUGAAGUGCGGAUGAAAGGGGAUGUAGCCAAGCUAUGUGACCUGGGACUCGCAAGACGGAAAGUAGACAGCACGGGGACGUUCGUGGGCACCAUGUCGCACAUGUCUCCGGAAAUGCUCUCCAACAAAUGGAACACGUACAAGACGGACAUUUACAGCCUCGGGAUUUUCCUCUGGGAGCUAUGGUACGGCCGGUACGUGUACUCCGAGGACGAAUACCAUACCAUACACUGGACUGUUCUUAUUGAUGCUAUCAAAGCAGGGACGCGGCCUAGAUGUGACAAAAAAUACGCUAUGGUAGAUAGUCUUAGAGAAAUAGUUGAAAAAUGCUGGGACCAAGAUCCGACAAUUCGUCCUGAGGCAAGGGACGUUGCGCUUAUCAUCAAAGUAUUGUAAGAGUAAACAACUUUAUGACAUAAGGCUUAUCAUCAAAGCCUGCAAAUUGUUAUUUUAAUGGUUUUUAAGUUUUUGUGCAAAGGACUACUUUGACUCAGUGAAAAAAUGACAACAGUAACAUGUACAUAUGGUUGUCGCAAAUAUGUAAUAUAACAAGUUGUAGAUAUUAAAGAAGAAUCAGCCCAGAACUGUUGUUACGUACUCUCAUUUUAUUUCAAUGUAACGUCCAUCUUGACUGUCUCGAAUUAAUAUGACAU